AAACGACUCUCGGCAACGGAUAUCUCGGCUCUCGCAUCGAUGAAGAACGUAGCGAAAUGCGAUACUUGGUGUGAAUUGCAGAAUCCCGUGAACCAUCGAGUUUUUGAACGCAAGUUGCGCCCGAAGCCUUCUGGCCAGGGCACGUCUGCCUGGGCGUCACGC
rnacentral:rRNA from 1 species